GGAAACUUCAAAUGGUUUUGUCUGCUUUCACUGACUAUAAAUUCCAUGCUGGAAAUCCCCGUGGAGGUUUAAACCAUGACCAGUGACCCCAGGAUUUCCCAAACCACACACAGAGCUCCCCUAGACUGGUGCUUUGAAGGUGAGGACGCUGAACUAUGCAUCUUGUAUCAAUACCGUGCUGUGCUGUGAGGAAUGGAUGGAAACUGUCUUGAAAUAAUGUUUUUGUUUAUUUCAGCAACUUAUGAUGUUGGAAUUGAAGAACUCCAAAAGCCUUGGAAGAGUUUUCUCCAUCAAGAACUUCGCCCUAAACGUGAAGAUGAAGAUAAACACAUGAAGGAAAAAGACCCAUGUGGAUUGGAACAUCAAAAUUCAGAACAGGAUCCACAUUCAAAGCAUCCUUUCAAGGUAGACGUUUAUGAGGUGACACCAGAAGACAUCCAGAUGACUACCAGCCACGGAGAUAGAUGGAGCACGGUGGCUAGACAGCAGGAAACCAUGACUGAUGAAAUAGAAGCAAAGGCCUGUCCUGAGGAUAUGGACCUGGUCAGGCCCUCCCAAGGCCAGGGUGUGGAGAGUUUGGAGCUGACGACACACACCCAGGACCUGGUGGCCUUUAAGUCAUGUUCUGGGUUGCAGGCCACAUACGACGAUGUGGAUUGCCCCGUGACAGAUAUAUCCAAGUCGGAUUUCUCCAGCUCAUUUACCUCAGACAGUGGUAAGUCUAGGAAGACGUUUCUGAAAAGCCCCUAG
rnacentral:lncRNA from 1 species